UCCCUGGUGGUCUAGUGGUUAGGAUUUGGCGCUUUCACUGCCAUGGCCAUAGUUCAAUCUCUGGUCAAGGAA
rnacentral:tRNA from 1 species